rnacentral:rRNA from 1 species
GAUGAACGCUGGCGGCGUGCCUAAUACAUGCAAGUCGAGCGAACAGACGAGGAGCUUGCUCCUCUGACGUUAGCGGCGGACGGGUGAGUAACACGUGGAUAACCUACCUAUAAGACUGGGAUAACUUCGGGAAACCGGAGCUAAUACCGGAUAAUAUAUUGAACCGCAUGGUUCAAUAGUGAAAGACGGUUUUGCUGUCACUUAUAGAUGGAUCCGCGCCGCAUUAGCUAGUUGGUAAGGUAACGGCUUACCAAGGCAACGAUGCGUAGCCGACCUGAGAGGGUGAUCGGCCACACUGGAACUGAGACACGGUCCAGACGCCUACGAGAGGCAGCAGUAGGGAAUCUUCCGCAAUGGGCGAAAGCCUGACGGAGCAACGCCGCGUGAGUGAUGAAGGUCUUCGGAUCGUAAAACUCUGUUAUUAGGGAAGAACAAAUGUGUAAGUAACUAUGCACGUCUUGACGGUACCUAAUCAGAAAGCAACGGCUAACUACGUG